UCGUAGUUGGAUCUGCGCCUGAGGACUCGGUCCGUCCACUGGGCGUGAACUGAGCUCCUAGGCAGUUUUGCUGGUUUUCCCUUCGUUGCCUUAAUUGGUAGCGUCGGGUGGCUAGCGAGCUUACUUUGAAAAAAUUAGAGUGCUCCAAACAGGUUUACGCCUGUAUAGCCGUGCAUGGAAUAAUGGAAUAGGAUCUCGGUUCUAUUUUGUUGGUUUCUGAACCGAGAUAAUGGUUAAGAGGGACAAGACGGGGGCAUUCGUAUCGCUGCGUGAGAGGUGAAAUUCUUGGACCGUAGCGAGACGCCCGACUGCGAAAGCA
rnacentral:rRNA from 1 species